GUUGUGCUCUGGGUGUCAUUUUGACUGGGCACCCACUUCUUGGUAGGGUAGCAGCAGUCCUAAAGUGUCUCCAUUUGUAGAAUGUUUGCCAAACUGUAGACUGGUGAAUUUAUAAAGUCUUUGAAAUCACUUUGUAACCCUUGCCAGCUUUAUGUAAAUCAACAAUUCUUGAUCGUAGAUCCUCUGAAAGCUCUUUUUGGUGAGGCGUGACUCGCAUAAGCGUGUGCUUCUUGUGCAGAGCAAACUCCAAAAGUUUGAGGGGUUUUUAUCAGUCAAAGCAGCUGUGGUCCACACCUCCAAACUCAUUUUCUUAAUGAGACUCCAGUUGUGCUAAAACCUGAUUCCAAUUAGCUUUUUUUUUAGGUCAUUAACUCAAGGGUUCACAUACUUUUUCCACAAGCACUAUGAGGUUUUUUUUUUGUUUUGUUUUGUUUUUUAUUUAUUUAUUUUAUUAUUUUUGUUCUCAAUAAGGACAUGAAAAAUCAGAAUUUCUUUUUUGUUAUUAUUUUAGACACACUAUUUGUUAAUACCCUUGACUUACUUGAAGAUCAGAUCACAUUUUAUGACAAACUUAUUCAGAAAACCAUGAAAUUCCAAAAGGUUCACAUACUUUUUCUUGCCUCAAUCGAUCGAUUAUAUGAAGCAUCUGCCAAAUACGUAACCGUAGCUGUAAACUUAAUGACUUUACAUCUACUUUUGUCACCUAUGCAGGAUGAAUUGCAUUCAACCAAGGAGGCCUGGAACAGCCACCUGAUACGUCCAUCAAUGAAUGAACGUGUUCCCCAUGGUCGGCCUGAUGUCAUGUAUACUAUUCCCGGAAUUGACACAGUGGACUAUUUGUGCCAAGUGUCAGAGGAAGAAUGUAUCUGGUGCGAAGGAACUGACUACACUAUUAAACACCCCUCUCCUGUACUCCCCAGAGGAUUGGUACGCUAUACUUAGUGUGACUAAGGUGUGACUAAGGUGUGACUUAGUUUAAUGUCUAUAGUUCCUUUCAUACCCACCGGGGGCAUUGGUGGCUUGUCUUUUAAGGCUCUGGGGUUCAAGCCCCAGCACUGCCAGGCUGCUACUGUUGGGCCCUUGAGCAAGCCCCUUAACCCUCUUUGCUCCAUGGGCGCUGUAUCAUGGCUGACCCUGCGCCCUGACCCCAGCUUCCUGACCUGCUCUGGUAUGUGAAGAAAAUAAUUUGUGUGCUCUAGUGUAUAUGUGAUCAAUAAAGACUCUAUCAUUAUAAACCUUUACACUGUCAUUAGUAUGCAUUGCUUUGCCUGUUUGUUUUUUGUGAGUAUACUCAACAGCAUUGCACCUACCAACUCCCUAUUUGUACACAGUUAAAUGUCUAGAGUUGCUUUUUCAAAGCUAUACACUGUGACAUUGGUAUUCACUGCAUUGCUUGUUUUUCAAUAGUUCUUAUGCCUGUAGUUACUUUUACAAGGUGGUAAUACUCCCUGCAUGUGCUUGUUUGUACGUAGGUCAUGUGUGCAUAUUUAAUUUAUUUUAUAAACCUAUACAAAGCAGCAAUGUUAUUGACUGCCUUUACAUACAGGGUCUGAAUUUGCAUGCUUGUUUUGCAAGAAGAAAGUAAACGUGAUUCCUGCUGUGUCUCCAAUACAUACCCUUACUUACUUGUGAAAUUGUACAACCAUCUGUCCUCCUCAGACAGGGCAUUUUUAAAUGUCAUUGUGUCAGAGUCUGUCUUUAUUACAGUAACUUGUGGGAUAAGGUGUAAAUCACCUGAUAAUGUUUAAAAAUGAUGGAGUGUGUUUUUAUGAAAACAAUAUAAAUGUUGCCUGGUAAUACACUCCUUUGCCUAUAGUUUCAUAGGUGGCUUCAAAGACCUGCUGAAACCAUUUGUGGUUUCAAACAGGUGUGACGUCACAAUUCAGAGGUUUUUUGAAACUUGUUCAAUCUACUUGUCGGCAGUUAAACAGGCAACUUAGCCAAGUCCAGCACUGAGCCCUAUUCAACAAAAUACUUAUUUAUUACACUGACUGGUUGUUUUUUUUGUUUGUUUGUUUGUUUGUUUGUUUGUUUGUUUUAAACUGUCCAUGUAGUGGCAGAUGAAAACAUGAAUGUUAAUAACUCUGAAAUCAGGAAUAUUCAAAUCCAAAAUGACAAUUGCUUAGUGUAAGUUAUCUUGAAAAUUUGCUUUGUGAAAUAACUCCUCUGGUCUUUUAUCCCUAGACAGCUUGACAGCUUUUAUAUUUUAUAUAU
ensembl:lncRNA